ensembl:misc_RNA Vault Vault RNA
GCGUCGGCUUAGCUCAGUGGUUACAUCAAACCUGAAUGGAUUCAAGUUUCUAGCCAGCGGCCUAACAGCCGCGGGUUCGACCACGGGCGCUGUCCGAUGUUUUU